rnacentral:rRNA from 1 species
AUGGAGUGUGGGAAAUGGACGCGAUGGGUAGAUGUGUGUGGCUGGGUGGGGAUAAAGGGCCGUGGCGGGCACUUGGCUGGGAUGCGUUUGUCGUCUGCGCCAUGGGUGGUCACCCCCACCGUCGGCCACAUCUUCUCCGUCGUCUUCCCCGACUCCGCCAGCUACGGCUACACGACACGCAGUGGCCGGAUCACUCUCGCUCUCAACCAGCUGGUUGUCGAGAUCUCCGAGCCGAUCCUCGAUGCCCAGGCCGUGGCCGUCCUCGACACCGCUUGGAUCCUUAUCUCCAGCCUCCCCGACAUUGCGCGGUCCGAGCUCGUCAUCCGCCAGAUGUCCCGUCUCUUGGGCAAGGUGGUGGUGGUCGAUGAGCUCUCUGUGCGCAAGGAGGAGGAGGUCCGGGUCAAGGGCUUCGACCUCAGGAUCGCCCCCGAACCCCCCAACCACGUUGGUCGCCCCCGCUCCUUCAACGUCGGCCUCCCCGGCGGCAACCCGGGGGGCGAUGGGGAUUACCACGGUCGUCACCACGCCCGCUCCCACCACUCGGAUGAGGAUGGGGCCUCGGAGGACUCCCGCUCCCCGUCCCCUUCGCCCCCUCCUCCUGCCGCGGGGGGCAAGGGCCGCCAGGCCGCGCCCAGUCUGCUCCUUGGCAGGCCCUCGGUCUCUGCAGCAUCGUCCUCCGAGGGGAGCGAGAUCUCCAGUGUUAGUAUGGUAGUCUGCCUAGCCUCUUCACCGCUCUCUCCCUCCUCACCUCCCCCCGUCGCGCGGGAUUCAGCGGACUUGUCCCUUGGUCUGCUCCCGGCUACUUCGAUGGCGCCCUCGGUGGGGCUCCGCCCCGCCUCGGCUGCUCCGGGCCCGCUCCUCUGGCCUCUCCAGCGGCGACUCUACCCGUGGAGGGGGAGGCUAGGGUAUCCACGCCCAUGGCUGCCCAGCCCCCCUCGGUCCGCCGCCUACUCUCGUCACGGCCGGUCGGUCUCCUCUCCGGUGAUUGCAUCCCGUCGGAGUGCUCGACUGGAUGCUGCUCACCCUGAGGGCAGCCCGACUCUGCCCAUCCCCGAGCGGGUGGAGCUCCGCGCUGCUGCCCGUAACUUGGAGCCAGGUACGCCUUCCGUUCCCCCCUCUGCUUCGUCCUGUUCCUUCUCUGCGCUUGAGUCCAUUCCUCUAGGCAACCUCGCUAAGGUAGCCUUUGACUCCGCAAUCAUUUUUAGAGUGGAAGCUGGCCCCCCUUUAGCCCAGAUCGCGGCUAUUAGAGCUCGCGAGAUUCUUGAUGGGAGACUCGCGGAGGCCCGUGCGGCCUUCCUCCUGCCUCUGGCCCCUCCUGCGGCUGGUGUGCCCCCCCCCCUCGUCCAUGUUGCGGCUGAUGGCUCCUCCCCCCUUCCCCCCCGUGGUGGGGGAGGAGAUCUGUGGUCGCACUCAUUCCCGCACGGCGGCUCUCCGUGCGCAAAGCACCUCUCGUGUCCUGGGUCAAAGCCCCCCAAUGGCGCCUUGAUGCGGGCUCUAUUCUGGAACAUCCGCGGUUUCGGCCAUGAUGGUCGACGCCGCCAACUAGUGGAAUACAUGCGAGAUGAGCAUAUUGACAUAGUAGUCGUUCAAGAAACCAUGCGUCUCGAUUUCUCGCUCCCCGAGCUUGACCGUCUGAGCUCUCACCUCUUUGCGUGGCAUUGGCUCCCUUCUAGUGGGAGCGCAGGUCACUCGGGUGGCAUCCUUUUAGGUGUGAAGGAUGCCACCUUCGAGGUGGGUAGCAUGGAUCGGGGAGAAUUCUUUGUGAGCAUGGAGAUGUUCGAGAGAUCUCUCAACUUCAAGUGGGAGGUCAUCAUCGUCUACGGGCCUACCGACCAUAGUAGGUCGGCCGCCUUCCUUGAGGAACUCCACCGGAAGAUCUCUGCAGCCUCCCUUCCUGUGGUAGUGGGUGGCGAUUUUAACCUCCUGCGCACGUCGGAAGACAAGAGCAAUGAUAAUGUCUGCUUUGCGCGGAUGCAAAUGUUCAAUGAUUUCAUUGCUGACCUUGGUCUCUGUGAGAUCGAUAGGAUUGGUGCCAGGUUCACCUGGACCAAUUGGCAAGCCUCCCCGACCCAGUUCGUCUUGGACCGGGUCUUAGUGUCCCCGGAUUGGGACCUCCAUUGCCCCUUGGCCUCCCUCCACGCCAUCACUCGGAUUGGCUCGGAUCAUGCCCCCUGCUUCUCUCCUCUGCUGAUGAGCGCCUGCCGGUCACCCCCCGUUUCUGUUUUGAGACUUUCUGGCUCUCCCAGGCUGGGUUUACCGACGCCGUCUGCGCUCGGUGGAUCAAGGCCCGUGCCCACCCUCACCCUCACCCCCCCUUCGGCCAUUGAUGCGUGGCACUUCUGUGCGAAACGCAGAAGGCAAUUCAUGAAGGGAUGGGGUGCGAAUUUGGGUCGGGACUUACGGGAGUGCAAGAAGGUUCUGUUAUCCGCGAUUCAGGCCCUCGACCUGCAUGCUGACGCGGUGGGUCUAUCUCCAGACGAGUGGCUUUCUCGAUUUGACCUUGAAGACCAGCUCUCAGUGAUCUACACCGAUGAGGAGGCCUAUUGGCGCCUCCGUGGGGCCCAGAAAUGGGUCUUGAAGGGCGAUGCGAAUACGGCAUACUUCCAGACAUCGCCAACGGCCGCCGUAGACGCAACACCAUCCCCCUCUUAUGGGAUGGUGAGACGCUCCUUCAAGACCCUCGCGACAUUCGUGCUCACGUCGACGUUGGUGUCUGUCUUGAAGAACGCGGCCCUGACGGCCCCCUUCUCUGAGCAUGAGGUAUGGGAGGCCAUCAAGGGCAUGAACCCAUCCUCGGCGCCGGGGCCGGACGGCCUCCCGGUCAAAUUUUUCCAGACCUUCUGGAACAUGAUUAAACCGGAGCUUCUCUCGGUCCUCCGUAUCGGGACCUCCAUCUCGGUGGGAUCCGAAAUUUCGAUGCUCUUCUGGUUUGAUCGCUGGCCCGGGGACACUCCCUUUGCAGCUCGCUUCCCCGGCCUCUUCUCUAUCUCCGUCGAUCCCCUGAUUUCUGUUGAUAGGGCCCUUCUUGACUUAGGGCGCCUUGCUUUCCGACGGCCUUUUGGUCCCUUGGAAUCCGCCGCCUGGCGCGAGUUGCUUGACUGUGUUGCUCCCCAUGAGCCAAUGGUGGAUGGUGGCCCGGACCUGGUGCGCUGGCGCCUUGAGUCGUCGAGUCAAUUCUCCACCAAGUCGCUUUACCUGGCCAUUGCCCCAUCUUCCGCCCCCCUUCCCCUCUCGGUGGUAUGGUCCAUCCGCGUACCCCUGAAGAUUCGUAUCUUCAUGUGGAAAUGGAUUCGCGGUCGGGUCCCGUCCGGGGUGGAGGUUCGCAAGCGAAAUGGCCCGGGUACUGGCAUCUGUCCAUUCUGUGGGGUCCCCGAAGACUCGAACCACAUUUUCUUCUCCUGCGUCUCUGCCCAGUUCCUUUGGAGCUGCUUUCGCGAAGCUGUCGGUGGAAAUUGGUGCCACACCAAUUUUCCGGACCUUUUUGUCGAACUCCAGCUGUCCCCCGUGACUUCUCGCCACAUUAGGUGGCUUCAGAUUGGGGUUCUUGCCUGGACCCUCUGGACUGUUUGCAAUAAGCUUGUGAUUCAGCGCACUCCUCUUCGGCGAGCUACUGACGCUCUUUUCAAACUCUCGGGUUUCUUGCAGCUUUGGCGGCCGCUUAGCCGCCCCCCGGACCGCGACGCCAUCUCAGCCUUCAUCGUUGAUCUCCGCUCGAUGGCCAUCCGCCUGUCGCCGCCGCCUCCACCGCCAGCGCCGGAACCAGACUGA